ACAAAAGCCGGGAUAGCUC
rnacentral:tRNA from 1 species